UUAUUAUCUAUUUACUGUGAACUGUAUUAUUAUUUGACAUUUGAGGGAUGUUCCAAUGUUAUAAGGAUAGACAUUGGAAAUGUUAACCGAGUCAUAAUCAGGUUUAGGCCUGGUAUCCUAUUAUUAUUUACCAAAUGAAUUCAGAAUUAAUAUUGUAACAUAGACCUAAAAAAUCUAUAAAACAACUUUUAACAACGGAUCUCUUGGUUCUCGCAUCGAUGAAGAACGUAGCAAAGUGCGAUAACUAGUGUGAAUUGCAUAUUCAGUGAAUCAUCGAGUCUUUGAACGCAACUUGCGCUCAUUGGUAUUCCAAUGAGCACGCCUGUUUCAGUAUCAAAACAAACCCUCUAUCCAACUUUUGUUGUAUAGGAUUAUUGGGGGCCUCUCGAUCUGUAUAGAUCUUGAAAUCCCUGAAAUUUACUAAGGCCUGAACUUGUUUAAAUGCCUGAACUUUUUUUUAAUAUAAAGGAAAGCUCUUGUAAUUGACUUUGAUGGGGCCUCCCAAAUAAAUCUUUUUUAAAUUUGAUCUGAAAUCAGGCGGGAUUACCCGCUGAACUUAAGCAUAUCAAUAGCCCGGAGGAAAA
rnacentral:rRNA from 1 species